rnacentral:rRNA from 1 species
GCUUAGAGUUUGAUCCUGGCUCAGAAUGAACGCUGGCGGCGUGCUUAACACAUGCAAGUCGAACGAGAAAGCACUUCGGUGUGAGUAUAGUGGCGCACGGGUGAGUAACACGUGGGUAACCUGCCCUAUUGUGGGGGAUAACUCGGAGAAAUUCGAGCUAAUACCGCAUAAGUUGGUAACAAGAAAGGAUGCUUCGGCAUUCGCGAUAGGAUGGGCCCGCGCUACAUUAGCUUGAUGGUGGGGUAAUGGCCUACCAUGGCAACGAUGUAUAGCUGGUCUGAGAGGAUGAUCAGCCACACUGGAACUGAGACACGGUCCAGACUCUACGGGAGGCAGCAGUGGGGAAUAUUGCGCAAUGGAGGAAACUCUGAGCAGCAACGCCGCGUGAGUGAGGAAGGCUUUCGGGUCGUAAAGCUCUGUCAAAUGGGAAGAACCGUAGUUGGUCUAAUAGCCUUCUGCCUGACGGUACCAUUAAAGGAAGCACCGGCUAACUUCGUGCCAGCAGCCGCGUAAUACGAAGGGUGCAAGCGUUAUUCGGAUUUAUUGGGCGUAAAGCGCGCGCAGGCGGAUAAUUAAGCCAGAUGUGAAAUCUCGGGGCUCAACCCCGAAACUGCGUCUGGAACUGAUAAUCUAGAGUCUUAGAGGGGGGAGCGGAAUUUCGCAUGUAGGGGUAAAAUCCGUAGAGAUGCGAAGGAACACCAGAGGCGAAGGCGCCUUCCUGGCAUGUAUUGACGCUGAGGCGCGAAAGCGUGGGGAGCAAACAGGAUUAGAUACCCUGGUAGUCCACGCCGUAAACGAUGAGUACUAGAUAUGGUGGGUUUAACCCCUUCCGUGUCGCAGCUAACGCAUUAAGUGCACCGCCUGGGAAGUACGGUCGCAAGACUAAAACUCAAAGGAAUUGACGGGGGCCCACAAGCGGUGGAUUAUGUGGUUUAAUUCGAAGCAACGCGCAGAACCUUACCCGGGCUUGAACUCCUGAGAAUCUCGACCAAAAUUGAGAGUCGUCUCGGGGAAUUCAGUGAAGGCGCUGCAUGGCUGUCGUCAGCUCGUGUCGUGAGAUGUUGGGUUAAGUCUCGCAACGAGCGCAACCCCUAUCUUUAGUUGCCAGUAUUAAGUUAGGCACUCUAGAGAGACUGCCUGGGUUAACCAGGAGGAAGGUGGGGAUGACGUCAAGUCCUCAUGGCCCUUAUGUCCGGGGCUACACACGUAAUACAAUGGUGCAUACAAUGAGACGCGAUCCUGCGAAGGUCAGCAAAUCUCAAAAAGUGCAUCUCAGUCCGGAUUGAAGUCUGCAACUCGACUUCAUGAAGUUGGAAUCGCUAGUAAUCGGAGAUCAGCACGCUCCGGUGAAUACGUUCCCGGGCCUUGUACACACCGCCCGUCACACCAUGGGAGUUGAUCUUACCCGAAGCGGGGAUGCUAAAGUAGCUACCCUCCACAGUGGAUUCAGCGACUGGGGUGAAGUCGUAACAAGGUAACC